GUAGUACUCCCUCCGUUCCAAAAUUCUUGUCUUAGAUUUGUCUAGAUACGGAUGUAUCUAGUCACGGUUUAGUGUUAGAUACAUCCGCAUGUAGAUAAAUUUAAGACAAGAAUUUUGGGACGGAGGGAGUAUCAU
rfam:Triticum aestivum genome assembly, contig: Triticum_aestivum_CS42_TGACv1_scaffold_342456_4DL